CUGGCUCAGGAUGAACGCUAGCGGCAGGCUUAACACAUGCAAGUCGAGGGGCAUCGGGAGUAGCAAUACUGCCGGCGACCGGCGCAAGGGUGCGUAACGCGUGAGCAACAUGCCCGUAUCAGGGGGAUAAUCCAUGGAAACGUGGUCUAAUACCCCAUAGUAAUUAUGUAAGGCAUCUUAUAUAAUUUAAAGCUUUGGUGGAUACGGAUUGGCUCGCGUGACAUUAGCUAGAUGGUAAGGUAACGGCUUACCAUGGCUACGAUGUCUAGGGGUUCUGAGAGGAAGGUCCCCCACACUGGAACUGAGACACGGUCCAGACUCCUACGGGAGGCAGCAGUGAGGAAUAUUGGACAAUGGAUGGAAAUCUGAUCCAGCCAUGCCGCGUGCAGGAAGACGGCCCUAUGGGUUGUAAACUGCUUUUGUAUGGGAGCAAUAAGGGCUACGCGUAGUCCGAUGAGAGUACCAUACGAAUAAGCACCGGCUAACUCCGUGCCAGCCGCGGC
rnacentral:rRNA from 1 species